UUGUUCUAUUUCCCAAUAGCGGAGGAAAAGAAACCAACAGGGAUUGCCCUAGUAACGGCGAGUGAGCGGCAACAGCUCAAAUUUGAUAUCUGGCUCUCGGGCGCGAGUUGUAAUUUGUAGAGGAUACUUUUGAUGCGGUGCCUUCCGAGUUCCCUGGAACGGGACGCCAUAGAGGGUGAGAGCCCCGUCUGGUUGGAUGCCAAAUCUCUGUAAAGUUCCUUCAACGAGUCGAGUAGUUUGGGAAUGCUGCUCUAAAUGGGAGGUAUAUGUCUUCUAAAGCUAAAUACCGGCCAGAGACCGAUAGCGCACAAGUAGAGUGAUCGAAAGAUGAAAAGCACUUUGAAAAGAGAGUUAAAAAGUACGUGAAAUUGUUGAAAGGGAAGCGUUUAUGACCAGACUUGGGCUUGGUUAAUCAUCUGGGGUUCUCCCCAGUGCACUUUUCCAGUCCAGGCCAGCAUCAGUUUUCCCCGGGGGAUAAAGGCGGCGGGAAUGUGGCUCUCUUCGGGGAGUGUUAUAGCCCACCGUGUAAUACCCUGGGGGGGACUGAGGUCGCGCAUCUGCAAUGAUGCCGGAUAAC
rnacentral:rRNA from 1 species